GACGAACGCUGGCGGCGUGCUUAACACAUGCAAGUCGAACGGAAAGGCCCUGCUUUUGUGGGGUUCUCGAGUGGCGAACGGGUGAGUAACACGUGAGUAACCUGCCCUUGACUUUGGGAUAACUUCAGGAAACUGGGGCUAAUACCGGAUAGGAUCUCCUGCUGCAUGGUGGGGGUUGGAAAGUUUCGGCGGUUGGGGAUGGACUCGCGGCUUAUCAGCUUGUUGGUGGGGUAGUGGCUUACCAAGGCUUUGAAGGGUAGCCGGCCUGAGAGGGUGACCGGCGACAUUGGGACUGAGAUACGGCCCAGACUCCUACGGGAGGCAGCAGUGGGGAAUAUUGCACAAUGGGCGGAAGCCUGAUGCAGCAACGCCGCGUGCGGGAUGACGGCCUUCGGGUUGUAAACCGCUUUCGCCUGUGACGAAGCGUGAGUGACGGUAAUGGGUAAAGAAGCACCGGCUAACUACGUG
rnacentral:rRNA from 1 species